CUAUUUGAUGUAUCAGAAUCAAAAAACUGAGUCAUAAUCAUUUAACUGUAACGAAUUAUUAAAGUGGAGGUUAAAUUGAAUUCCUAAUAUACAUAGAAAACAUCAAUUCUGAACAGCAGUGCCUGCCCAUAUAUUCAAUAAAUUUAACCCACGAUUCAAGCCGAAGAAUUUGGAUAUUAAUAUCCUGAAUGGAGUAUCUUAAGUAAGCCACGAAGUUUCUAAUACCCUGAAGCAAACGAUCUGAGUCGAUUUAGCCAUCUCUGUAUAAACGCGAACUAAUCGCUUCGUUUUAGAGAUAUCAUUCUAAAAACGUCCUCUUCUUCCUAAGAAGCCGAUCAUCGAUAGCGUACCACCAUACGAUCGAGCUGACAUACAAACUGAAUCAAAUCAAGUUUUUGUAUGAACAUUUUUUUAUUUGUCAACUGUAUUUUUCUUGUUCUCUUUCAGAGAAACUAAGAAAAUAAUAAAUAAAUAAAUAAUAA